GAGACCUCUUUAAACCCUCCCCUGUUAGCAGAAGAGGGGGAAUAGAGGAGGAGACAAGCUGCCACUAGAAUUCCCCAUCUCGGAAGACUUGAAGCAGCCAUUCUGACUCUUCAGUGAACAAGGCUGCUUUAAAUACAGAUUGAAAGUUGAAAAUCUGCCACAUGUGUGAAUAUGUAGGAAUGCAUCUUAAAAAGUCUCCUCAGUGGAAAUAUUUGCAGUGAUGAUUAUUAAACCAGAGACUUGGAUCCCUGUAACUGUACCCCCAACUGAGAGCCGCAUACUCACUGUAAAGCACUCCAGUGGCACAAAGCACAGUAAUUCAAACGUUGUUUUUCAUCCCAUGUCAGGUAACUGUUCUCAAACCUGAUUUGUUGACUGAAGCAUUGUGAAUGGGCAGGAGGGGGAUUCAAAUCUUUCUCAUAUUGACCUGUGGUGCUGUAAAUCAAACUCAGUUUUUCAAGUUUUCUCUUUUCUUUCUGUAUUUUUUUUUCUGAACACACUGCUUUGUUCAAGUCAUUUGACUGUUCUAUAAACAAUAUAAAUGAAUGUCAAUCCCUGAAAAUUUUUAGCCUAUUAAUUUUGUAUCCAAAAUACAAUUUUAAUGAUUUGCAAAAAAGUAGGUGCUAAUAUCCAAUUCGCAUUAAAACUCUUGUACGAUGCUGUCGUCUUUAAAUCAGAUUUUCAAAGCUUUCUUUUCUGACUGACUGCAGAACACUAGAUACAAUACAUUAAAGCAUGAUGAAAAUUCCUGUAGCAGACUGAAGUUGUGAUAGCUGUUCCAAGAGCUUACGGUGCUUGUCCAAUUAUUUAAAGCACAUACACGAUAGGUCAAGCUGUAUAUGGUGUUCAUAUCUAUGCAUUUUCUAACUUAGGCCAGUUGUCACAAAUGUAAUUGUCCUCUUCUCAUUGGGGGGGGAAAACACAAAGAAAAAGAGUGUUGAUGUAAGUUUAUAAAAUGCCCAAUAUUUGUUCAACAGAUUUGCAAUGUUUUUGGAUUAUGUUUAGGUUCAUGCAAUUAAGGAUUUAGGUAUGGUUGUAUUGCACUGAAAACUAAUCAAAAUAUUUAUUUUAAAAAAUACUGUAUCUUCCUUUUAAUUAAAUACAAUGCUUGAAGGACUA